rnacentral:lncRNA from 1 species
GUCGGCCUAUUCCAGGGCUUCUAGAGAAAAAUAAUGAUGGGUUUCACGGGGAAUGACUAUAUAGGUCUUGUAGAGGAGAAACAGGCGCUUCUUUUGCGCUAGGCAUCGAAGGGCGCUAUGUUCAAAAAUCUGAAACUAGAGCUCAAAAUUUGAAAAAAAUGUCAAAAAAUUAGGGGUUUGGCCUAUUCCAGGGCUUCUAGAGAAAAAUAAUGGGGGGUGUCACGGGGAAUGACUAUAUAGGUCUUGUAGAGGAGAAACAGGCGCUUCUUUUGCGCUAGGUAUCGAAGGGCGCUAUGUUCAAAAAUCUGAAACUAAAGCUCAAAAUUUGAAAAAAAAUGUCAAAAAAAUGGGAGUAGGGUCGGCCUAUUCCAGGAGUUCUAGAGAAAAUAAUGGGGUGUUCAGGGUUAUGACUAUAUAGGUCUUGUUGAGGAAAAAAAAAAGGCACUUCUUUUGCGCUAGGUAUAAAGGGCGCUAUGUUCAAAAAUCUAAACUAGGGCUCAAAUUUGAAAAAAAUGUCAAAAAAUUAGGGGGGUCGGCUAUUACAGGGCUUCUAGAGAAAAAUAAUGAGGGGUGUCACGGGAUAAUACCUAUAUAGGUUUGUAGAGGAGAAACAGCGCUUCCUUUUGCGCUAGGUAUGAAGGGCGCUAUGUUUCAAAAAUCUGAAACUAGAGCUCAAAUUUGAAAAAAUGUAAAAAAAUUAGGGGUCGGCUAUUCUAGGACUUCUAAGCAAAAUAAUGAGGGGUGUCACGGGGUAUGACUAUAUAGGUCUUGUAGAGGAGAAACAGGCGCUUUCUUUUGCACUAGGUAAUGAGGGCGCUAAUAUUCCAAAAAUCUGAAACUAGAGGCUCACAAUUCGACAAAAAUGGGGUAGGGUCGGCCUAUUCAGGAGUCUAGAGAAAUAAUGGGGGGUGUCACGGGUAAUGACUAUAUAGGUCUUGUAAGGAAGAAAAGAGGCACUUCUUUUGCGCUAGGUUCAAAGGGCGCUUGUUAAAAACUACAAAUAGGGCUCAAAUUUUAAAAAAAAUGUCAAAAAUUAAGGGGGGUUUCGCCUAUUCCACGGCUUUUCUAGAGAAAAAAUGAGGGGGUGUCAACGGAAAUGACUAUAUAAGGUCUUGUAGAGAGAAACAGGCACUUUUUGCGCUAGGUUAUCGAAGGCUAUGUUCAAAAAUCUGAAACUAGAGCUCAACAUUGAAAAAAUGUCAAAAAUUAGGGGGUUCGCCUAUUCUAGGACUUCUAGAGGAAAAAAAUCGAGGGGUGUCACGGGUAUGACUAAAUAGUUUGUAGAGAGAAACAGAGCGCUUCUUUUGCAGCUAGGUAAUCGAAGGGCGCUAUAUUCAAAAAUCUGAAACAAGAGCUCAAAAUUCGAAAAAAAUGGAGGGGUAGGGUGGCCUAUUUCCGGAGUUUCUACGAGAAAGAAUAAUGGGGGGUGUCACGGGUUAUGAACUAUAUAGGUCCCUUGUUGAGGAAGAAAAAAGCACUUCUUUUGCGCUAUUGGUAUCAAAAGGGCGACUAUGUUCAAAAAUUAAAACUAGGGCUCUAAAAUUUGAAAAAAAUGUCAAAAAAUUAGGGGGGUCGGCCUAUUCCAGGGCUUCUAGAGAAAAAUAAUGAGGAGUGUCACGGGGAAUGACUAUAUAGGUAUUGUAGAGGAGAAACAGGCGCUUCUUUUGCGCUAGGUAUCGAAGGGCGCUAUGUUCAAAAAUCUGAACUAAUUCUCAAAAUUUGAGAAAAAUGGUCAAAAACAUUGGGGGGUCGGCCUAUCUAGACUUCUAGAGAAAAAUAAUGAGGGGUGUCCGGGUAUGCUAUUAGGUAUUGUAGAGGAGAACAGGCGCUUCUUUGCAACUUAGGUACGAGGGCGCAUAAUAUUCAAAAAUCUGAACUAGAAGCUCAAAUUCGAAAAAAAAUGGGGGUAGGCGGCCUAUCCAGGAGUUCUAGAGAAAAAUAAUGGGUGGGUGUCAGCGGGGGUAUGAUUAUAGGUCUUUGUAGAGGAAAAAGGCACUCUUUUGCGCUAGGUAUCACAGGGCGCUAAAUGUUAAAAAUCUAAAACUAGGGCUCAAGAAUUGAAAAAAAGUCAAAAAAUAAGGGGGUCGGCUAUUUCUAGGGGCUUUAGAGAAAACUAUGAGGGGUGUCCGGGAAUGACUCAUACAGGUCAUUGUAGAGGAGAACAAACAGGCGCUUCUUUUGCAUAGGUAUCGAAGGGCGCUAUAUUCAAAAAUCUUGAAACUAGAGUCAAAAUUUCGAAAAAUGGGGGUGGGUCGGCUAUUCCAAGGAGUAUCUAAGAGAAAAUAAUGGGGGUUGGCACGGGGGUAUCGACUAUAUUGGUCUUGUAAGAGAGAAAAAGGACAUUCUUUUGCGCUACGGUAUCAAGGGCGGCGCUAUGUUCAACAAUCUGAACUAGAGCUCAAAAAAUUGAAAAAAUGUCAAAAAUUAAGGGGGUUCGGCAUUAUAGGACUUCUGAGAAAAAUAUGAGGGGUGUACGGGUAUGACUAUAUAGGUCUUGUAGAGAAAACGCGCUUUCUUUUUGCACUACAGUAUCGAAGGGCGCUAUAUUCAAAUCUGAUAAACUAGAGCUUAAAAUUCAAAAAAAUGGAGGAGGUCGCUAUUCCAGGAGUUCUAGAGAAAAAUAUGGGGGGUGUACGGAUGACUAUAUAGUCUUGUAGAGGAGAAAAAAGGCACUACUUUUUGUGCUAGGUAUCAGGGCGCUAUGAUUCAAAAAUCUAAAACUAGGGCUGAAAAAUUUGAAAAAAAUGUAAACAUUAAGGGGGUCGGCUAUCCAGGGCUUCUAGAGCAAAAUAAUGGGGGUGUCACGGUGAAUGAUAUAUAGGUUUUGUAAAGGAGAAACAGACGCUUUUUGCGCUACGGGUUCGAAGGCGCUAUGUUCAAAAAUCUGGAAACUAUAGCUAAAAAUUUGAAAAAAAUGUAAAAAUUAGGGGGGUGGCCUAUUCUAGGAACUUCUAAGAAAUAAUGGGUGUCAACGGGGUAUGACUAUAUAGGUCUAGUAGAGGAGAAACAGGCGUUGCUUUUGCACUAGGUAUCGAAGGGCGCUAUGUUCAAAAAUCUGAAACUAGAGCUCAAAAUUUGAAAAAAAUGUCAACAAAUUAGGGGGGUCGGCUUAUUCUAGGGCUUCUAGAGAAAAAUAAUGAGGGGUGUCACGGGGUAUGACUAUAUAGGUCAUGUAGAGGAGAAACAGGCGCUUCUUUUACACUAGGUAUCGAAGGGUCGCUAUGUUCAAAAAUCUGAAACUAGAGCUCAAAAUUCGAAAAAAAUGGGGGUAGGGUCGGCCUAUUCCAGGAGUUCUAGAGAAAAAUAAUGGGGGGUGUCAUGGGGUAUGACUAUAUAGGUCUUGUAGAGGAGAAACAGGCGCUUCUUUUGCGCUAAGUAUCGAAGGGCGCUGUAUUCAAAAGCUGAAACUAGAGCUCAAAAUUUGAAAAAAAUGUCAAAAAAUUAGGGGGGUCGGCCUAUUCAGGGCUUCUAGAGAAAAUAAUGAAGGGUGGUCACGGGGAAUGACUAUAUAGGUCUUGUAGAGGAGAAACAGGCGCUUCUUUUGCGCUAGGUAUUCGAAGGCGCUAUGUUCAAAAAUCUGAAACUAGAGCUCAAAAUUUGAAAAAAAUGUCAAAAAUUAGGGGGGUCGGCCUAUUCUAGGACUUCUUAGAAAAAUAAUGAGGGGUGUCACGGGGUAUGACUAUAUAGGUCUUGUAGAGAGAAACAGGCGCUUCUUUUGCGCUAGGUAUCGAAGGGCGCUAUGUUCAAAAAUCUGAAACUAGAGCUCAAAAUUCGAAAAAAAUGUCAAAAAAUUAGGGGGGUCGGCCUAUUUUAGGACUGCUAGAGAAAAAUAAUAAGGGGUGUCACGGGGUAUGACUAUAUAGGUCUUGUAGAGGAGAAACAGGCGCUUCUUUUGCACUACGUAUAGAAGGGCACUAUAUAUGUUCAACAAUCUGAAACUACAGCUCAAAAUUUGAAAAAAAUGUCAAAAACAUAGGGGGGUCGGCCUAUUCUAGGACUUCUAGAGAAAAAUAAUGAGGGGUGUCACGGGGAAUGACUAUAUAGGUCUUGAAGAGGAGAAACAGGCGCUUUUUUUGCGCUAGGUAUCGAAGGGCACUAUGUUCAAAAAUCUGAAACUAGAGCUCAAAAUUUGAAAAAAAUGUCAAAAAAUUUGGGGGGUCGGCCUAUUCUAGGACUUCUAGAGAAAAAUAAUGAGGGGUGUCACGGGG